rnacentral:rRNA from 1 species
CCUACGGGAGGCAGCAGUGGGGAAUUUUGGACAAUGGGCGCAAGCCUGAUCCAGCAAUGCCGCGUGAGUGAAGAAGGCCUUCGGGUUGUAAAGCUCUUUUGUCAGGGAAGAAACGGCUCCAGCUAAUAUCUGGGGCUAAUGACGGUACCUGAAGAAUAAGCACCGGCUAACUACGUGCCAGCAGCCGCGGUAAUACGUAGGGUGCAAGCGUUAAUCGGAAUUACUGGGCGUAAAGCGUGCGCAGGCGGUUUUGUAAGUCUGUCGUGAAAGCCCCGGGCUCAACCUGGGAAUUGCGAUGGAGACUGCAAGGCUUGAAUCUGGCAGAGGGGGGUAGAAUUCCACGUGUAGCAGUGAAAUGCGUAGAGAUGUGGAGGAACACCGAUGGCGAAGGCAGCCCCCUGGGUCAAGAUUGACGCUCAUGCACGAAAGCGUGGGGAGCAAACAGGAUUAGAUACCCUGGUACGUCCACGCCCUAAACGAUGUCUACUAGUUGUCGGGUUUUAAUUAACUUGGUAACGCAGCUAACGCGUGAAGUAGACCGCCUGGGGAUCGGUGCAAGNUUAAAACCGNAAAUGAAUUGACGGNUGAGAGNGCGAGCGACGACGAGGGAGGAGG